UUUAUGCAGACCUCCAAACCAAUUAAGAGGUUCUCUCAUCCUCUGGUCACCAAAGUAGUACGUAUUAUUUUGGUCUGCUCAGGCCAUAUUGCCCUGACGAUAGUAGUGACACAUUUCAUGAUUUCCCUGGUCCCUAUGUGACAAUGUUACAAUUUCUGGGCAUUCAGCUCAAGCCAGACACCCACAAAAGGCUUCUCUGACCUUCCGCAAGGUCAGAGUAACGGCCUCAGUAAUCAGGCCCUCAUCUCUCCUCCCCGUUACUCCUGCUUCUGCUUUAUCUCUAGUUGAUCCAAGUUUCCUUAAAUCAAUUUUCAUCAUAAAAACAAACCAAAAAAAUUACCUGUAUUCUUGAGUUCCCUGCUCCAUGGAGUCACAAUUUGCACCUUGGAUAUCUGACUGCUUCAGAUACACUUUCCCUGGCUUGAGGCUCUCAAGAGAUCUGAGAUAUGUCAGGCACUUCCACGUGUGUUCCCAUGUUACUUCAUAAUUUUUAUCUCCAUUUAAAUAGGUGUAGAAACAGGCUUAGAAAGUUGAAAUUGCCUAAGAUGCAAGUCACACAGAGUGUUACAUUUUCUGAUUUCAAGCUAGGGUACCUUCCAUUAUAUCACAGACGUACUAUACUAAAUUUGGCGUAAAAACAAAAAGCCUAUUUAUGUGCAUAUUUAGGCCUCAGAUGAAGGUUAUUUUUAAGCCAUUCAUGAGUGGUUUUCAAAAAGGGUACUUUAAAAAAAAUCAAUGCACAUAUUAAAACAUUCCUGAAUCUACAUGUCAUCUUGAUGUUUGCCGCAUAAGUGAAUGAAAUUGGCAGUUUGUUCCUUUUAUCAAUGGGAGUAAAUGCACCAAAAGGAAUUUAAAUACUUUAUACUUAGGAAAUUUAGGUCCUAACAACUGUAAAGAAAUGUUGAUACCUCAAAUUUAGAGAAUGAAUAUUUUUUAAUUCAACAUGGUGAUUGCUUUUAACAGGUACUUUUUAAAGAGGCACUCUAUUAAAUUUUGUUAUGCUUUGGUCUUUACCAAGAAAGUAAAAUUAUUUUUUUGAAAAUGAGUUUGAGAACAGAAGCCUGGUACAAGAACCUGAUUGUCAAGCAGUCUGUGCUGUUGUCAUUUUAAGUAAUUACCCGACUUCUCUGUAGGCCCAGAUAUCCCGUCUUCCACUAAGUUUACCUGAACCAGUUUUCAUUGUUCAUUCUCCAUUUUGUUUGCAGCAGAGAGGGGAAUGUGCUAAGUAUUCAAGAUGAACAUUUGAACCUGAAUAUGAAGAAAGAGUAGACCUGCUUAUUGAUGAUUUUAGCAUAUGUGGCUUCCAAGAAAAGCAGGCAUUGUAUGUUGCAGAAGUCCUGUGAUUCUUGGUUCUCUAUUUUACUUUUCCAGAGACAACAAGAAUUCACCUUUUUGAAUUCACCAUAUAUGGACUGCACCAUACCCAAGGAUUUUCAAGGGCGGCAACUGGACCACAGUGGCCAUUUUUCUUAAUGUGGAGGUACACUACACAGCAGUAUCCAAUUUUACUGAAUACCGGGGGUACCAAAAAAAUGUAUACAAGUGGAUACUUUGGUCAACGUUGCUCCAGCAGUAGUUCGCCAUAAUCAGAAGUGUCUGGACCCG